rnacentral:rRNA from 1 species
UACGAGGGGGUGCAAACGUUGCUCGGAAUUAUUGGGGCGUAAAGCGCACGUAGGCGGCCCCAGCAAGUCGGAAGUGAAAUCCCACGGCUCAACCAUGGAAGUGCUUUCGAAACUGCUGGGCUUGAGUACAAAAGAGGAUCGCGGAAUUCCCGGUGUAGAGGUGAAAAUUCGUGAGUAUCGGCGAGGAACACCAGUGGCGAAGGCGGCGAUCUGGGUUGAGUACUGACGCGUGAGGUG